rnacentral:lncRNA from 1 species
ACACAUUGAAGCUGUAAGUGCAUUUACUACUAGUUUCGAGUGUUGAUUUGGUGUUAGCACCACAUGGUUAGCAACAAUUAGACCACAUCUCUUUGAUUACAUUAUCCUAACAUUGAAAUUUUACUUGGUAAACCAAUUUAUUACUUUAUAUGGUGAAAAACCAUCCUUGCCAGAACCAUCUCAAUUUAACCAUAUAAGGAGAGUGCAACAUAC